UACGAAGGGUGCAAGCGUUACUCGGAAUUACUGGGCGUAAAGCGUGCGUAGGCGGUUUGUUAAGUCCGUUGUGAAAGCCCUGGGCUCAACCUGGGAAUUGCAGUGGAUACUGGCGAGCUAGAGUGCGGUAGAGGAUGGUGGAAUUCCCGGUGUAGCGGCGAAAUGCGUAGAGAUCGGGAGGAACACCCGUGGCGAAGGCGGCCAUCUGGACCAGCACUGACGCUGAGGCACGAAAGCGUGGGGAGCAAACAGG
rnacentral:rRNA from 1 species